rfam:Picea glauca, whole genome shotgun sequence.
ACAUGCCUACAACAUAGAAUUAAUGCAAAAGAUCCCAUUAUAAAUCUGUAGUUAAGAGCGCUCAUAAUAGAGUAGUAUUGGGAUGGGAGACCGCCCAGGAUGUCCUAGUGUUUUACAUGCC